GACAGAGGUCCCGAGCGUUGUUCGGAUUCAUUGGGCGUAAAGGGUGUGUAGGAGGUCGGGUAAGUCAGGUGUGAAAUCUCACAGCUUAACUGUGAAACUGCGCUUGAUACUGCUCGGCUAGAGGAUCGGAGGGGGUAACGGAAUUUAUGGUGUAGCAGUGAAAUGCGUAGAGAUCCGGAGGAACACCGACGGCGUAGGCAGCGCCCUGGCUGUGAAUAAAGCUGACACUGAGGCACGAAAGCUGGGGGAGCAAACAGG
rnacentral:rRNA from 1 species